rnacentral:rRNA from 1 species
UGGCGGCGUGCCAACACAUGCAAGUCGAACGAGAAAGUGGAGCAAUCCAUGAGUACAGUGGCGUACGGGUGAGUAACACGUGACUAACCUACCCUCGAGUGGGGAAUAACUUCGGGAAACCGAGGCUAAUACCGCAUAAUGUCUACGGACCAAAUGCGCAAGCAGCUUGAGGAGGGGGUCGCGGCUGAUUAGCUUGUUGGCGGGGUAACGGCCCACCAAGGCAAUGAUCAGUAGCCGGCCUGAGAGGGCGCACGGCCACACUGGAACUGAAACACGGUCCAGACUCCUACGGGAGGCAGCAGUGGGGAAUUUUGCGCAAUGGGGGAAACCCUGACGCAGCAACGCCGCGUGGAGGAUGAAGCCCCUUGGGGUGUAAACUCCUUUCGAUCGGGACGAUUAUGACGGUACCGGAUGAAGAAGCACCGGCUAACUCUGUGCCAGCAGCCGCGGUAAUACAGAGGGUGCAAGCGUUGUUCGGAAUUAUUGGGCGUAAAGGGUGCGUANGCGGUGCGGUAAGUCUUCUGUGAAACCUC